UGGCGAGCUUUUAUUUUCGGAUAUUGUAUGUAUAGUGAACUGUUAUUUUAUUCUACCUGAUUACUUUACUUAGCAGCUCUAUACUACUAGUUGUAGUAUUGUAUGUUUUACAGGUACAGCUAUCGCUUCGUAUACAGGAAAAAUUUCUUUGUAUACGGCAGAUUUGUCGGCGUGCCUGGGGAAUGUGAAAUCCGGGGCGUGACACUAUCUCACUUUGAAACGAUUAUCAUCGAAUAAUUAUUCCGAUCCGUAUUUCCAGAAGUGUCCAAUUCGACAUCGGAACCCACCGUCGCUCAUCCGUCAUUUUCGGACCCUCGAAACGACGCGG
rnacentral:lncRNA from 1 species